rnacentral:rRNA from 1 species
AGUCGAACGAGAGAUGAGGAGCUUGCUCUUCAAAUCGAGUGGCGAACGGGUGAGUAACGCGUGAGGAACCUGCCUCAAAGAGGGGGACAACAGUUGGAAACGACUGCUAAUACCGCAUAAGCCCACGGCUCGGCAUCGAGCAGAGGGAAAAGGAGCAAUCCGCUUUGAGAUGGCCUCGCGUCCGAUUAGCUAGUUAGUGAGGUAACGGCCCACCAAGGCGACGAUCGGUAGCCGGACUGAGAGGUUGAACGGCCACAUUGGGACUGAGACACGGCCCAGACUCCUACGGGAGGCAGCAGUGGGGAAUGUUGCACAAUGGGGGAAACCCUGAUGCAGCGACGCCGCGUGGAGGAAGAAGGUCUUCGGAUUGUAAACUCCUGUUGUUGAGGAAGAUAAUGACGGUACUCAACAAGGAAGUGACGGCUAACUACGUGCCAGCAGCCGCGGUAAAACGUAGGUCACAAGCGUUGUCCGGAAUUACUGGGUGUAAAGGGAGCGCAGGCGGGAGAACAAGUUGGAAGUGAAAUCCAUGGGCUCAACCCAUGAACUGCUUUCAAAACUGUCUUUCUUGAGUAGUGCAGAGGUAGGCGGAAUUCCCGGUGUAGCGGUGGAAUGCGUAGAUAUCGGGAGGAACACCAGUGGCGAAGGCGGCCUACUGGGCACCAACUGACGCUGAGGCUCGAAAGUGUGGGUAGCAAACAGGAUUAGAUACCCUGGUAGUCCACACCGUAAACGAUGAUUACUAGGUGUUGGAGGAUUGACCCCUUCAGUGCCGCAGUUAACACAAUAAGUAAUCCACCUGGGG